UGAGCUGGGGGUGGCCGCAGAGACCAGCGAGAAGCGACUGUUUACUAAAAACACAGGUCCGUGCGAAGCCGUAAGGCGAUGUAUACGGACUGACGCCUGCCCGGUGCUGGAACGUUAAGGGGACCGGUUAGCUGCCUUUCGGGGUGGCGAAGCUGAGAACUUAAGCGCCAGUAAACGGCGGUGGUAACUAUAACCAUCCUAAGGUAGCGAAAUUCCUUGUCGGGUAAGUUCCGACCUGCACGAAUGGCGUAACGACUUCUCGACUGUCUCAACCAUAGGCCCGGUGAAAUUGCACUACGAGUAAAGAUGCUCGUUUCGCGCAGCAGGACGGAAAGACCCCGGGACCUUUACUAUAGUUUGAUAUUGGUGUUCGGUUCGGCUUGUGUAGGAUAGGUGGGAGACUGUGAAGCGGCCACGCCAGUGGUUGUGGAGUCGUCGUUGAAAUACCACUCUGGUCGUGCUGGAUGUCUAACCUGGGUCCGUGAUCCGGAUCAGGGACAGUGUCUGAUGGGUAGUUUAACUGGGGCGGUUGCCUCCUAAAGAGUAACGGAGGCGCCCAAAGGUUCCCUCAGCCUGGUUGGUAAUCAGGUGUUGAGUGUAAGUGCACAAGGGAGCUUGACUGUGAGACCGACGGGUCGAGCAGGGACGAAAGUCGGGACUAGUGAUCCGGCAGUGGCUUGUGGAAGCGCUGUCGCUCAACGGAUAAAAGGUACCCCGGGGAUAACAGGCUGAUCUUCCCCAAGAGUCCAUAUCGACGGGAUGGUUUGGCACCUCGAUGUCGGCUCGUCGCAUCCUGGGGCUGGAGUCGGUCCCAAGGGUUGGGCUGUUCGCCCAUUAAAGCGGUACGCGAGCUGGGUUUAGAACGUCGUGAGACAGUUCGGUCCCUAUCCGCUGUGCGCGUAGGAAUAUUGAGAAGGGCUGUCCCUAGUACGAGAGGACCGGGACGGACGAACCUCUGGUGUGCCAGUUGUCCUGCCAAGGGCAUGGCUGGUUGGCUACGUUCGGAAAGGAUAACCGCUGAAAGCAUCUAAGCGGGAAGCCUGCUUCGAGAUGAGUAUUCCCACC
rnacentral:rRNA from 1 species